rfam:Gossypium raimondii Chr04_contig_835, whole genome shotgun sequence.
GCCGAGCCGAGUAACGUAAGCUUGUAACUCGAGUGAGAGCUUUAAGGUAAUGGAACACAGGAUUGAUGACUUGCUUUGUCGGAUUUCAAGUGGCUUGAACUCUGGCUUGCCCGUACCAAGCCGGGAACUGAUCUAUUGGACUUGAGUGAAACUCUAGGUCUCGUGGAUCCUAGAGUGCAAGGUACUACGUCAGGCUGGCUUCACAGAGCAACGACAACCUCUGGUUCUCGGCAGUGGAAGGAUAACAGGCCUGAUCUGCUUUGGGUCCAUCUUGGCUUAGCGGGCUUACCGAUGAACCAUUACGUUA